AACUCUGAGCGGUGGAUCACUCGGCUCGUGCGUCGAUGAAAGAGCGCAGCCAACUGCGUGAAUUAGUGUGAAUUGCAGGAUAUCUUGAACAUCGACAUCUUGAACGCAUAUUGCGGCCUCAGGUCUCCCCUGUGGCCACGCCUGGCCGAGGGUCG
rfam:Macrostomum lignano unitig_47390, whole genome shotgun sequence.